CUGCUGUGUCGUUGAGAAGAUUGAAAUCAGUGGAGAUUCUCUAGAGUUGCUUGGCAAGAAAGGUCGAGUGAGUGAACGAGCAGGGUUGUGCUGCCGAGAAAUCGAUGAUGAAUUGCCUGAAACCCUCAAGUUAGAUUUAUAUUACCCUUGUUCAUGUAUGACGGUAAAACCAAAAUGCGAAAGACACAUACUAGUUGGAAAUAAGGCAAAUAAUUUCAAACCAGUGUAAAACUU
rnacentral:lncRNA from 1 species